UAGUGAUCCGGUGGUUCUGAAUGGAAGGGCCAUCGCUCAACGGAUAAAAGGUACUCCGGGGAUAACAGGCUGAUACCGCCCAAGAGUUCAUAUCGACGGCGGUGUUUGGCACCUCGAUGUCGGCUCAUCACAUCCUGGGGCUGAAGUAGGUCCCAAGGGUAUGGCUGUUCGCCAUUUAAAGUGGUACGCGAGCUGGGUUUAGAACGUCGUGAGACAGUUCGGUCCCUAUCUGCCGUGGGCGCUGGAGAACUGAGGGGGGCUGCUCCUAGUACGAGAGGACCGGAGUGGACGCAUCACUGGUGUUCGGGUUGUCAUGCCAAUGGCACUGCCCGGUAGCUAAAUGCGGAAGAGAUAAGUGCUGAAAGCAUCUAAGCACGAAACUUGCCCCGAGAUGAGUUCUCCCUGACUCCUUGAGAGUCCUGAAGGAACGUUGAAGACGACGACGUUGAUAGGCCGGGUGUGUAAGCGCAGCGAUGCGUUGAGCUAACCGGUACUAAUGAACCGUGAGGCUUAACCUUACAACACCGAAGGUGUUU
rnacentral:rRNA from 1 species